rnacentral:rRNA from 1 species
UACGUAGGGGGCGAGCGUUGUCCGGAUUUAUUGGGCGUAAAGAGUUCGUAGGCGGUUCGAUAAGUCGGACGUGAAAUCUCCACGCUCAACGUGGAGGGGCCGUUCGAUACUGUCGUGACUCGAGUCCGGUAGGGGAGUGUGGAAUUCCCGGUGUAGCGGUGAAAUGCGCAGAGAUCGGGAGGAACACCCGUAGCGAAGGCGGCACUCUGGGCCGGUACUGACGCUGAGGAGCGAAAGCGUGGGGAGCAAACAGG